rnacentral:tRNA from 1 species
AAGAAAGCAUACAAGAACUGCUAACUCUUUGUUCCCGUGCUUAACAACACGGCUUUCUUA